UACAAUGGCGGAUUAUCGUGUGUAUUAAUCUUUUGAUUUCUGUUGCCUUCGGAAAUACAUGCCUACAUUUGUUACGAUGGGUAACGAUUUAUUGAUUUCGCUCGCAAAGCAUACAAACGCCACUUCAACACGUCAUAGAUGGUAAACAUAUUCAUUCGUGUAGGUGGAAUGCAAAGAGUUGCCGGUGUCGCAGCACUACUCAAUUCUGCACGUAUCUCGAAGAUUCGUGCGUACUCAACGCAAUUACACGACUGGCCUCGCUUCCUACGGUGGACGCCGUUGCCUCCAUCGGCUCGUUCCCCUGUUUGUCAUACAGCGUGACUGCACAGCGUUGGCAACAAACGGAGCAGCUCCGCUGUAGUUAGGGGGCUGAAAUUCGUCCACUAACACUGUCCAUGACCAACGGAUGGCUGCGCCCUGGCGGUCACGCUCGGGGAUAGGAGAAUCCCAUUGACGGCGCGUCAAGGCUGGAAGGCGACGCUCGUACAAAUACAGAAAGAAUAUAGGACGACCCAGCAGCACAUAAUCCAAACUAGCCACACAUACAGGGUGUCCCAGAAAACGUGUCAUUGAAUUAUAAUUAAAAAA